AUGUAUAGGGAAAACUGGUAAAAUGUGAUGUACCUAAUAGUAUUAGAAAUAAAAUAUGAAAUUAACUAAGUUAAUUAAAAUUCUAAGUAGGUAUGUGAUUAUGACAAUAUCUGCAUAGGUCUUGACCAAGUCACGUGCCAGCAGUCGCGGUAAUACGUGGAAGACGAGUGUUAUUCAUCUUUAUUCGGUUUAAAGGGUACCUAGACAGUUAAUUAAGCAAUUAGAUGUACUAAUUAACUAGAGUUUAAUGUAAGAAGGAUUGAGUACGGUGAGAGUAGAGAUAAAAUUUUUUGAUACCACUUAGGAACUGGUAACAGCGAAGGCUACCUUCAAUGUAAAAAACUGACGUUAAGGGACGAAGGCUUGUAACAAAUAAUAGGAUUAGAUACCCUAGUAUUUUGAGCAGAAAAUGAUGAGUGUCAUAUACAAGAUAAAUGUUUUGUGUAUAAAUGAAAGUGUAAGCACUCCACCUCAAGAGUAACGUGGCAACAUGGGAACUGAAAUCAUUAGACCGUUUCUGAAACUCGUAGUGAAGUAUGUUGUUUAAUUUGAUGGUCCUCAAAUAACCUUACCACAAUUUGUAUAACUAUUGUACGAUAGUUACAAGCGUUGCACGGCUGUCUUCAGUCAAUGUUGUGAAACUUUGGUUAGAUCCAUU
rnacentral:rRNA from 1 species